rnacentral:pre_miRNA from 1 species
AGGAGGAACAGCCCCAGUGGCGGGGCAGCUCUGGAAACCUGUAUUCAGCUCCCACAGUAACUACGGAGCUCUCCUCUGCAGGGCCUGGAGGCUCCGGGGUGGG